GGUCUUAAUGAUGGCGGCGGCACCUCCUACAUACAGAAAGAAAAUGCAAACCUGAAUAAGCCUAAAGUACUCAAUGUUCACAUCGCUGGAAAGAUUUUAGCCAUUGUUUCAGCUUUGUAGAGAAAAAUUUUAGUAAUUGCAGUCAACCACCAAUAGAGGACGCCCUACACCAUGACAAAACUGACAUGGAUCCUUUCUAUAUCCAGUUUGAACAGCAACAGGAAAUACAAGUGUGAAGCCAAACCCUCCUCCUCCCCAUCCCGCAUGGCUCUGAGCACGUAACACCUGCCUGCUGCUCGGCAGUGGUACAAGAUGUUCUUUCGAUUACUCCUGGUGCAAAAGAGGAACAACUGCUUUCACUUUCUCUUGCUGCUUGUUUGUUUUGUAAUGUCUGCUGUAAGUGCUGAGAUCAGCAGUGCAGGUAGCAGGUUCAGGGCGUCUGGUUCAUGUGAAGGUAUACAAGACAAAAAUGCAUUUUCCACUUUUUAGGGAGCAAGAAGUUGUGUAUAGGAUAAUAUACAGUCAGCUAGGUUAGACGGUCCAAAUACUGGGAUCUUACAUAAUAAAUGACAAAAAAAAAAAAAAUAUUAUUAGCUAUUAAAAUGAAAAUAUAAAAAUGAAAUCGGAAAAUAUUAAUAAAAACUAAAAUAAUAUCUCAGUGAUACCAAAAUAGCACAGCACUUGACUGUAAACAGCAAAAGAAGUUGGUUUUGCUGACGUCUGUGCGGAGUGUGGGCAUGUGGUUGCGUUUGCAAAAUUGCUUAAGUCUCUUACAGCAGCUUUAACCCCUGCUGCAUUUCAAUCAUGCAGAGCCGUUUUUGAGAAAACAUAAACAUCUCCAGGAGAUUGUUGCAUCAGAGUGCAAGUCAAACGUGCAGUUAAAGGACAACAGCAGGGUUUAGAAUUACAUCUGCACUACUGUCUGACGCACACAGAGGUACAUAAAAUCAGAGAUUGCCGAAGAAGAUUAUCGCCCGCUCUGACAUUAAAUCCACAACCACCAGCUGCCCUCACGACCUCAUGAUUCAAUGCAUUACACUCUUGAUUGCAACCAAUCAGACCCUGCAGCCCUCAAUCAUCAGUAAAAUAACUGUGUGAUUUGUCUUUAAUAGAAACUUUCUCUACAUGAUGUUGUGAUGACUGUCAAUCUCAGACAAAAAGGCAGCAUAAAAAGUAUGAAAGUGA